rnacentral:lncRNA from 1 species
GGAAGGGCGCGUGCGUGCGUGUGUGUGCGUGUGUGUGUGUGUGUGAGGAGAAUCAAAGUGAACGGGCUCUUAGCUCUCGGGCUAACAUUAGCUGGCCACCGCCGCUGUCCCGGAUCUGCGCGCGCGGUUCUCCAGCAUCGCUCGUCAUGUGAACGGAUCCGAGAUGUCGCUCGCCCCUUAAAUCACUUUCUGCACCACCGAAAGUGACUGCUGUCCUCAGCCCAUCUGUUUGCCUGCUCUUCACCUUCAGCCUCGGCCUGGUAAGACUGAAUUAACUCAAUUAAACGAGACGGUAAUGAGCGGCGUCUGAUCAUCAGA